CCAUGUGUAGCGGUGAAAUGCGUAGAUAUAUGGAGGAACACCAGUGGCGAAAGCGGCUCUCUGGUCUGUCACUGACGCUGAGGCUCGAAAGCGUGGGUAGCGAACAGGAUUAGAUACCCUGGUAGUNCACGCCGUAAACGAUGAGUGCUAGGUGUUAGGCCCUUUCCGGGGCUUAGUGCCGGAGCUAACGCAAUAAGCACUCCGCUUGGGGAGUACGACCGCAAGGUUGAAACUCAAAGGAAUUGACGGGGGCCCGCACAAGCGGUGGAGCAUGUGGUUUAAUUCGAAGCAACGCGAAGAACCUUACCAGGUCUUGACAUCCCGAUGCUAUUCUUAGAGAUAGGAAGUUACUUCGGUACAUCGGAGACAGGUGGUGCAUGGUUGUCGUCAGCUCGUGUCGUGAGAUGUUGGGUUAAGUCCCGCAGCGAGCGCAACCCUUAUUGUUAGUUGCCAUCAUUAAGUUGGGCACUCUAGCGAGACUGCCGGUAAUAAACCGGAGGAAGGUGGGGAUGACGUCAAAUCAUCAUGCCCCUUAUGACCUGGGCUACACACGUGCUACAAUGGUCGGUACAACGAGUUGCGAGCCGGUGACGGCAAGCUAAUCUCUGAAAGCCGAUCUCAGUUCGGAUUGGAGGCUGCAACUCGCCUCCAUGAAGUCGGAAUCGCUAGUAAUCGCGGAUCAGCACGCCGCGGUGAAUACGUUCCCGGGCCUUGUACACACCGCCCGUCACACCACGAGAGUUUGUAACACCCGAAGUCGGUGAGGUANCCUUUUAGGG
rnacentral:rRNA from 1 species